rnacentral:rRNA from 1 species
UACGUAGGGUGCAAGCGUUGUCCGGAAUUAUUGGGCGUAAAGAGCUCGUAGGCGGUUUGUCGCGUCUGCUGUGAAAACGCGAGGCUCAACCUCGCGCCUGCAGUGGGGUACGGGCAGACUAGAGUGCGGUAGGGGAGAUUGGAAUUCCUGGUGUAGCGGUGGAAUGCGCAGAUAUCAGGAGGAACACCGAUGGCGAAGGCAGAUCUCUGGGCCGUAACUGACGCUGAGGAGCGAAAGCGUGGGGAGCGAACAGG